rnacentral:lncRNA from 1 species
UUUCUAUUUCAACAAAUCAUAUUCCUCUUGGGUUUUUGGGAAUAAAAGCACUUUCCUCCCUCCGGGAGCUGCAAGCAUCCUCAAAUCGCCGGCGAUAGAACAACGAGGACCAUGUCAUCAGGGCUGCAACC